rnacentral:rRNA from 1 species
UACGGGGGGGGCAAGCGUUGUUCGGAAUUACUGGGCGUAAAGGGUGCGUAGGCGGUCCGCUAAGUUGGAUGUGAAAACUCUGGGCUUAACCCAGAGCCUGCAUUCAAAACUGACGGGCUAGAGUUCUGGAGGGGGUAGCGGAAUUCCUGGUGUAGCGGUGAAAUGCGUAGAUAUCAGGAGGAACACCGGUGGCGAAGGCGGCUACCUGGACAGAAACUGACGCUGGAGGCACGAAAGCCUAGGGGAGCAAACAGG